rnacentral:lncRNA from 1 species
UCGAAACCAACAAGCUUAGAAAACAACUUACAACAUUGUUUGUAGUUAAUGUACACAAAAUCAAUAAGAAAACAUAAACCAAUCUUCCUUUUUAAAAUUAAAUGCCAUAUCAAACAAAAUAUUAUUACUCUUCUCUCACAACCAUUCAAUAUCAUAAAAUACAUAACCUAAAUUGUAAUAAAAAAAGAUCACAAUUUGCAUAAAAAGAGUAGAGCACAUCAUCACGUUUAUAGUACAAGACUCACAUCACCGAUUCUCAACAGCCUCUGGUGACCUACAGCUAAAACUAACAAAAAAAAUACAUUGACACUAAGCAUGUAUGUAAUGGGAAAGCAUGUAUGUAAUGGGAAGCAAAUUCACAUAAGAUGAUUAAUAAUAAAAACAUGAUGUUAUAUUGGACAUCUGAUAUCAAUUUUAGGCCCUUCAUCCUUAUCAAUUUAGACCCAUCAAAAGCACAAAAAUAUGAUGACUUGCCAUUUACAAGAAUAUAAUCAGAAAAGAAUCUAGCAAUAUGAAGAACAACAAGGACCAAGGCUGUAAAAUCAUUAUUAAGACAAAAUAAUUGUCAAUUGUGAAAGUACCCGGGGAUAUUAUAAUGAGGGUCUGAGCAGGGGCAAAUAUAGACUCAUUUUAAUCAAAAAGUUUCAUUUAAGCAUUCCAUCAAACACUUCAUGUGCAACUAGAGUUACAAACAUAUUUAAAGGAUUAAUAAUAUGAUGAUAAACUAAAGUGAUAUUGGUAUUUGAUAAAGACUAAUAAAAUUGAAGAAAGGAGAAAUACAACGUUAAAAUUUGAUAAAGCCAUGGUGUUUCUAUCUAACAAAAAGAUACAUACAAGGAAGAAAAAUUGAACCAAACGUGAUAGGAAAACCGAACAACAAAAUAGGAAAAUAGAGGUCUUUUCCUACCACGAAAAGGAGGUCGGAGCUCAGGUCGGAGGUGGGCGUAGGUCGGAGUUGGGAGGAGCUGCAGGAAGAAAUUGUGUCUGGGGAAGGAGAAGAAGAAACUGCAUCACAUGUUAGGAUAAUGAGAAGGGCGCCCUCAGUGAUGGUGCUGGUUGUAGCAGCGUCUGUGUAAAGGAGGGCAAUCAAAGAAAAAGUCUCAGUCAACUCAUAUUUUUUUCAGGACCGAGUAAGGAGCUGGG